GCUGGGUAUGGUGGCACAUGCCUGUAAUCCCAGUAACUUAGGAGGCUGAGGCAGGAGGAUCACAAACUUGAGACCAGUCUCAGUAACUUAAUGAGAUCCUAUCUCAA
rnacentral:sRNA from 1 species